AUAUUUAUCUGAAGGGAAUAUACCAUGAUCAUGAAGGUGGUUUUCCCAGGAGAGGCUUAUCCAUUGUACUCUGAAUGUGGCAACCCUUGGAUUUCCCCAAAUGAGGGAAAUUCAGCUGCAUAAUUUGAUGUAGUGGGGACCUGUGGUUGCCUG
rnacentral:snRNA from 1 species